AGGAAGAAACCUGGAGAAUGCUCUCCUUAGUGCCCUAGUUCGUCACAGACGGGUCCUUGCAGCUUCAUCUCUGGACAUUCUGAGGAGUGGUAUGGUUCCAUCACUAAGGAAUCUGGAGGCUGGAGCUGAGGCAGAAGCCAUGAAGGGAUGGCUGCUUACUGGAUUGCUCUACAUGGAUUGCUCAGCCUGCUUUCUUAUAGAACCCAGGACCACCAGCUCAAGGGUGGCCCUGCCCACAGUAAGCUAUCCCUUCCAUAUCAAUUAUUAAUCAUGAAAACUGCACCACAGGCCAUUCUGUUGGGAGCAUUUUCCCUCUUGAGGUUCCUCUUCCAAACUGAGUCUAGUAUGUGUUAAGCUGACUUAAAACUAGCCUGUGUGGACAAAGCUUUCCUGAAAAGUCUCAACUUCACGGGAAAUAAUCCCAAGAGCUGUCAAAUACAUUUGCAUAAAAUCUAAAAGCUUUGGCACCGAAAAGACAAGAAUUACCUGGAGAAACAGACAUAGAAUAGAACAAAGUCUUCCCACUGCCUGUCAGAUGGUGUUACUAUUUAGACUAUACAGGAAAUGCAAAGUUAAAUACCAGAAAAUUGUCUAUUCAAUAAAUGUGUUAAUGGAUCAAAUAAAAAUUCUUUUCUUUCUUUC
rnacentral:lncRNA from 1 species